GACGAACGCUGGCGGCGUGCUUAACACAUGCAAGUCGAACGGUGACGAAUGGAGCUUGCUCUGUUCUGAUCAGUGGCGAACGGGUGAGUAACACGUGAGUAACCUGCCCCUGACUCUGGAAUAACUUCGGGAAACCGAAGCUAAUACCGGAUAUGACACAGAGCCGCAUGGUUUCUGUGUGGAAAGUUUUUCGGUUGGGGAUGGACUCGCGGCCUAUCAGCUUGUUGGUGAGGUAAUGGCUCACCAAGGCGACGACGGGUAGCCGGCCUGAGAGGGCGACCGGCCACACUGGGACUGAGACACGGCCCAGACUCCUACGGGAGGCAGCAGUGGGGAAUAUUGCACAAUGGGCGAAAGCCUGAUGCAGCGACGCCGCGUGAGGGAUGAAGGCCUUCGGGUUGUAAACCUCGUUUCAGUAGGGAAGAAGCGCAAGUGACGGUACCUACAGAAGAAGACA
rnacentral:rRNA from 1 species